GGGACCCACAAGGAUUUCCGUUCUCUCUCUGCGUGCUUUUCAUCCUCUCUCCAGAAAAUACACUCUCGCUCUCUCUCCCUUGCGUUGUCGAUAAACCCAGAAAAAAAGGAGGAACAAACCCUGCCGUUUCAUUGCGAGUUAAGACAAUCAACCGCCACUAUCACCAUCUCCACCUCGCCACGAGUUCAACGAUUCCAUUUUUGUUGGAAGACUCGAAGCCAAGUCCCGGACGCCUCCGACAUGAUCGCGAGUUUCUCGCCGCUUGAAGCGUCGAUUCGAACAGGGGUUUUCCCCGAUUUCCGCCGAUAUCGGAGCCGGAUCCCGACUAUCCAGCCGUCCAUAGUAGCCCCAAUCUGUUGUUUGACAUCUCCGGUACAAAUUUAGUGCGUUGGUUGUGAGCUUUGGUUGAAAUUGGAGUUAAAUCGAAGCUGCAAAAUUCAAAAUUCCUUGAAUUUGCCGGCGUUUUUUCUCCAGAAACCGGCCAGACUUUUAGGCGGCUCGGACCGGUUCACCGGAACGUAACGGCUCUGCCAGACCGGCGGUUGACGGUUCAUUUCGGUCCAACCCGGUUCGUCCGGUCCAAUCCGGUUCUCUUGGUCCGACCCGGUUUGUCGGUCCGAUCCGGUUCGUCGUUCCGACCCGGUUCGUUCUGUUCGACCCGGUUCGUCCGGCUCGACCCGGUUCGUCGGUCCGAACCGGUUAAUUCGGCCCGACCCGGUUUGGUCGCCGGACCUCCCGGUUCGUUCGGUUCGACCUGCUCUUCGACCCGGUUCGGCUGCUCAGAAAGGUUCGUACGGUUCGAACACUUAUUUGAUUAAAAUCAUAUUUCAGAAGCACAGAAAUCGAACCCCAACGGGCGCGCGCUGUCUCUCUCUCUCUCUCUCUCUCUCAAAUGAAGAUAAAUCACUAUCUGCCUCUCUAUUUUCUUCAACUCUGAAUCUGUCUCUGUGAUACCCGUUGGAAACCCUAAUCCAACUGUCGUGCUUUGUUGACAAGUAUUGCAGCACAGUUGUGUUAUUUAAAACAACAUAUACGACUAAGAACAA